AAUAGAAUUACUGGGACAUAUGGUAACUCUGUGAUAAACUUUUUGAGAAGCUGCCAAACUGUUUUCCAAAGUGGCUGAACCAUUUUAUACUCCCAUCAGUAAU
rnacentral:pre_miRNA from 2 species